rnacentral:rRNA from 1 species
GACAGAGGAUGCAAGCGUUAUCCGGAAUGAUUGGGCGUAAAGCGUCUGUAGGUGGCUUUUCAAGUCCGCCGUCAAAUCCCAGGGCUCAACCCUGGACAGGCGGUGGAAACUGCCAAGCUGGAGUACGGUAGGGGCAGAGGGAAUUUCCGGUGGAGCGGUGAAAUGUGUAGAGAUCGGAAAGAACACCAACGGCGAAAGCACUCUGCUGGGCCGACACUGACGCUGAGAGACGAAAGCUAGGGGAGCGAACAGG